UAUUUUCAUGAUUGAGAGUGCACGA
rnacentral:piRNA from 1 species